UACACUACAAAAAUGUUGUUAUAGGGGAAUAUUUUGGGGUGAAAAAGGGCAAUUUUGGGGAUGUUGUUGCACUGCAAUAGUUCUAUUUAUCUCAAGUGAAAUAAGUGAAAUUUUGGGGUGAAAAAGGUUGAUUUUGGGGCUGUUGUUGCACUGCAAUGAUCGCAUUUAUUUCCAGUGAGAUUUUGGGGUGAAAAAGGGCAAUUUUGGGGCUGUUGCAGUGUAAUAACUCCAUUUAUCUCAAGUGAAAUAAGUGCAAUUUUGGGGUGAAAAAGGGCAAUUUUGGGGCUGUUGUUACACUGCAAUAAUUCCAUUUAUUUCCAGUGAGAUUUUGGGGUGAAAAAGGGCAAUUUUUGGUGUGAAAAAGGACGAUUUUGGGGCUGUUGUUGCAAUGCAAUAAUUCCAUUUAUAUCAAGUGAAAGAAGUGCAAUUUUGGGGUGAAAAAGGGCAAUUUUGGGGCUGUUGUUUCACCACGUCAGUGUUAAAAUAUAGGAGAAUUUUGGGGUGAAAAAGGGCGAUUUUGGGGCUGUUGUUACACUACAAAAAUGUUGUUAUAGGGGAAAAUUUUGGGGUGAAAAAGGGUAAUUUUGGGGCUGUUGUUGCACUGUAAUAAUUCCAUUUAUCUCAAGUUAAAUAAGUGCAAUUUUGGGGUGAAAAAGGGCAAUUUUGGGGCUGUUGUUGCACCACAUCAGCAUUAUAAUAGAGGAGAAUUUUGGGGUGAAAAAGGGCGAUUUUGGGGCUGUUGUUGCACAGCAAUGAUCCAUUUAACUCCAGUGAGAUUUUGGGGUGAAAAAAGGCAAUUUUGGGGCUGUUUCACCACGUCAGCGUUAUAAUAGAGGAGAAUUUUGGGGUGAAAAAGGGCAAUUUUGGGGCUGUUGUUACACUACAAGAUGUUGUUAUAGGGGAAAAUUUUGGGGUGAAAAAGGGCGAUUUUGGGGCUGUUGUUGCACUGGAAUAAUUCCAUUUAUCUCAAGUGAAAUAAGUGCAAUUUUGGGGUGAAAAAGGGCGAUUUUGGGGCUGUUGAGCUGCAAUGAUCCCAUUUAUUUCAAGUGAGAUUCUGGGGUGAAAAAGAGCAAUUUUGGGGCUGUUGUUUAACCGUCUCAGCGUUAUAAUAGAGGAGAAUUUUGGGGUGAAAAAGGGCGAUUUUGGUGCUGUUGUUUCACCGUAUCAGUGUUACAAUAGAGGAGAAUUUUGGGGUGAAAAAGAUCAAUUUUGGGGCUGUUGUUGCACUGCAGUGAUUCCAUUUAUUUCCAGUGAGAUUUUGGGGUGAAAAAGGGCAAUUUUGGGGCUGUUGUUACACUACAAAAAUGUUGUUAUAGGAGAAAAUUUUGGGGUGAAAAAGGGCGAUUUUGGGGCUGUUGUUGCACUGCAAUAAUUCCAUUUAUUUCCAGUGAGAUUUUGGGGUGAAAAAGGGCGAUUUUGGUGCUGUUGUUGCAGUGUAAUAAUUUCAUUUAUCUCAAGUGAAAUAAGUGAAAUUUUGGGGUGAAAAAGGGCAAUUUUGGGGCUGUUGUUACACUAAAAAAUGUUGUUAUAGGGGAAAAUUUUGGGGUGAAAAAGGUCGAUUUUGGGACUAUUUAAUACUCAACCAUUAUUAUAAAGGCAAAUUUUGGGGUGAAAAAGGUCGAUUUUGGGGCUGUUUCACUACAAAAACGUUAUUAUUGAAGAAGGUUUUGGUGUGAAAAGGGUCGAUUUUGGGACUGUUUAUUACUCAACUAUAAUAGAGGCAAAUUUUGGGGUGAAAAAGUCGAUUUUGGGAUUAUUGUUUUACUACACAAAUAUUAUUAUAGAGGAAGAUUUUGGUGUAAAAAAGGUCAGUUUUGGGAUUAUUUAUUAUUCAGCCAUUAUUAUAAAGGCAAAUUUUGGGGUGAAAAAGGUCGAUUUUGGGACUUUAUUACACAGUUCUUAUUUUAGGGUAAAAUUUUGGGGUGAAAAAGGUCAAUUUUGGGGCUGUUGUUUUGCUCCAUGAAUGUUAUAGGGCUGAAUUUUGGGGCGAAAAAGGUCGCUUUUGGGAUUAUUGUUUUACUACACAAAUAUUAUAGAGGAAGAUUUUGGUGUAAAAAAGGUCAGUUUUGGGAUUAUUUAUUACUCAGCCAUUAUUAUAAAGGCAAAUUUUGGGGCAAAAAAGGUCGAUUUUGGGGCUGUUGUUUCACUACAAAAAUGUUGUUAUUGAAGAAGAUUUUGGUGUGAAAAAGGUCGAUUUUGGGAUUAUUUAUUAUUCAGCCAUUAUUAUAAAGGCAAAUUUUGGGGUGAAAAAGGUCAAUUUUGGGACUAUUUAUCUAUAAUAGAGGCACAUUUUGGUGUAAAAAAGGUCGAUUUUGGGACUAUUUAAUACUCAACCAUUAUUAUAAAGGCAAAUUUUGGGGUGAAAAAGGUCGAUUUUGGGUUUAUUAUUUUUCUAAAUAACAAUUACUAUAGGUGAAGAUUUUGGUGUGAAAAAUGCCAAUUUUGGGACAAUUUCUUUACUAAUUAUAAUUUUAGGAGCAAAUUUUGGUGUGAAAAAGGUCGAUUUUGGGACUGUUUAUUACUCAACUGUAAUAGAGGCAAAUUUUGGGAUGAAAAAAGUCGAUUUUGGGAUUAUUGUUUUACUACACAAAUAUUAUUAUAGAGGAAGAUUUUGGUGUAAAAAAGGUCAGUUUUGGGAUUAUUUAUUACUCAGCCAUUAUUAUAAAGGCAAAUUUUGGGGUGAAAAAGGUCGAUUUUGGGGCUGUUGUUUCACUACAAAAACUUUAUUAUUGACGAAGAUUUUGGUGUGAAAAAGGGUCGAUUUUGGGACUGUGUAUUACUCAACUAUAAUAGAGGCAAAUUUUGGGGUGAAAAAAGUCGAUUUUGGGAUUAUUGUUUUACUACACAAAUAUUAUUAUACAGGAAGAUUUUGGUGUAAAUAAGGUCAGUUUUGGGAUUAUUUAUUAUUCAGCCAUUAUUAUAAGGGCAGAUUUUGGGGUGAAAAAGGUCGAUUUUGGGGCUGUUGUUUCACUACAAAAACUUUAUUAUUGAAGAAGAUUUUGGUGUGAAAAAGGUCGAUUUUGGGACUAUUUAUUACUCAACCAUUAUUAUAAGGCAGAUUUUGGGGUGAAAAAGGUCGAUUUUGGGCUUAUUAUUUAUCUAAAUAACUAUUAUUAUAGGUGAAGAUUUUGGUGUGAAAAAUGCCAAUUUUGGGACAAUUUCUUUACUAAUUAUUAUUUUAGGAGCAAAUUUUGGUGUGAAAAAUGUUGAUUUUGGGACAAUUUCUUUACCAAAUAUCUGUUAUUUUAGGAGCAAAUUUUGGUGUGAAAAAUGUCAAUUUUGGGUUUCUUUGCUGUAUUUAUUGUUGGGGGGGGGAUGUUAAAAAAUAACCAUUAAUUUUUGGUGUGAAAAAAGGCCGAUUUGGGCAAAAAAAAAACCCCACCAGGUUCCACUUUGCAGCCAAUAGAAGAAAAUAGCAAUUAACGCCGGCUGAUUUUUGGGCUGAAAAAGUGAAGAUUUGGUUAAAAAAUGCCCAAAUCCGCCUCCGUUUCCUUAUAAAGAAUGUGAAGUUUUGGUGUGAAAAAUGCAAAGUUUGGUUCAUUUCUCUAUUGAUAACUGUAUAUUUUUAUCCCAUAGCAGCCAAAAAGCGGCGCUCAUUUUGGGGCUAAAAAAGCCCUUUUUGGGUCCGGAGGAAAAGAAGGACCGGUUUUGGUGUGAAAAAUGGGCAUUUUGGGGGCAUUUUUGGUGUGAAAAAUGGCAGAUUUGGGGCAGUGCGGUGGGGGAGGGGCGGCACGGGGGCAUUUUUGGGGUGAAAAAGGGCGAUUUUGGGGCUCCUGGGCUUCAGUUUGGGGCUAAACUUGAACAAUUUGGGGCUGAAAAAAAAGUGCAGUUUUGGGGCCAAAUCUUCAGAAUUUGGGGCUGAAAAAAGUGCAUUUUGGGGCUGCUUUUUUGGGGCCAAAUGCUCAGAAAUUGGGGGUUAAAAAUGUGCAUUUUGGGGCCAAAAUCUCACAAUUUGGGGGUGAAAAAAGUGCAUUUUGGGGCUGCUUUUUUGGGGCCAAAUCCUCUGAAAAUAGGGGUGAAAAAAGUGCAUUUUUAGGGGUUGUUUUUGGGGCCAAAUCCUCAGAAUUUGGGGGGAAAAAAAGUGUUUUUUGGGGUGAAAAAAGUGCAUUUUGGGGCCAAAUCCUCCGAAUUUGGGGGUGAAAAAAGGGCAUUUUGGGCGGGUUCUUUUUUGGGGCCAAAACCUCAGAAUUUGGGAGUUAAAAAAGUGCAUUUUGGGGCCAAAUCCUCAAAAUUUGGGUGUUAAAAAUGUGCAUUUUGGGGCCAAAUCCUGAGAAUUUAGGGGUGAAAAAAAUGCAUUUUGGGGCUGCUUUUUUGGGGCCAAAGCUUCUGAGCUUUGGUUGGUUUUUUUGGGGGUUGAAAAUGUGCAUUUUGGGGCCAAAUCUUCAGAAUUUAGGGGUGAAAAAAGUGCAUUUUUGGGGCUUUUUUUUUGGGUCAAAUCCUCGGAAUUUAGGGGUGAAAAAAGUGCAUUUUGGGGCCAAAUCCUCAGAAUUUGGGGGUGAAAAAGGUGUGAUUUUUGGGGUGAAAAAAGUGCAUUUUGGGGUCAGAUCUUCAGAAUUCAGGGUUGAAAAAAGUGUAUUUCUGGGACUGCUUUUUUGGGGCCAAAUCCUCAGAAUUUGGGGCUGAAAAGAGUGUGUUUUUUUGGGGUGAAAAAAGUGCAUUUUGGGGACAAAUCCUCCGAAUUUGAGGGUGAAAAAAGUGCAUUUUGGGGGGUUUUUUUGGGGGGCCAAAACCUCAGAAUUUGGGAGUUAAAAAAGUACAUUUUGGGGGCCAAAUCUUUAGAAUUUAGGGGUGAAAAAGAUGCAUUUUGGGGCCGAAUCCUGAGAAUUUAGGGGUGAAAAAAGUGAAUUUUGGGGCUGCUUUUUUGGGGUCAAAUCCUCUGAAAUUAGGAGUGAAAAAAGUGCAUUUUGGGGCCAAAUCCUCAAAAAUUGGGUGUUAAAAAUGUGCAUUUUGGGGCCAAAUCCUGAGAAUUUAGGGGUGAAAAAAAUGCAUUUUGGGGCUGCUUUUUUGGGGCCAAAUGCUCAGAAAUUGGGGGUUGAAAAUGUGCAUUUUGGGGCCAAAUCUUCAGAAUUUAGGGGUGAAAAAAGUGCAUUUUUGGGGCUUUUUUUUGGGGUCAAAUCCUCGGAAUUUAGGGGUGAAAAAAGUGCAUUUUGGGGCCAAAUCCUCAGAAUUUGGGGGUGAAAAAAGUGAAUUUUGGGGCCAAAUCCUGAGAAUUUAGGGGUGAAAAAAGUGCAUUUUUGGGGCUGGUUUUUUGGGGUCAAAUCCUCGGAAUUUGGGGGUGAAAAAAGUGCAUUUUGGGGCUGCUUUUUUGGGGCCAAAUCCUCUGAAAUUAGGGGUGAAAAAAGUGCAUUUUUAGGGGUUGUUUUUGGGGCCUAAUCCUGGGAAUUUGGGGGUGAAAAAAGUGCAUUUUGGGGCCAAAACCUUGGAAUUUAGAGUUGAAAUAAGUGUAUUUUUAGAGGUUGUUUUUGGGGCCAAAUCCUCAAAAAUUGGUGGUUAAAAAUGUGCAUUUUGGGGCCAAAUCCUGAGAAUUUAGGGGUGAAAAAAGUGCAUUUUGGGGCUGCUUUUUUGGGGUCAAAUCCUCGGAAUUUGGGGGUUAAAAAUGUGCAUUUUGGGGGCCAAAAUCUCAGAAUUUGGGGGUGAAAAAGGUGUGGUUUUUGGGGUGAAAAAAGUGCAUUUGGGGGUCAGAUCUUCAGAAUUCAGGGGUGAAAAAAGUGUAUUUUUGGGACUACUUUUUUGGGGGCAAAUCCUCAGAAUUUGGGAGUUAAGUACAUUUUUGGGGCCAAAUCUUUAGAAUUUAGGGGUGAAAAAAAAGUGCAGUUUUGGGGCCAAAUCUUCAGAAUUUGGGGCUGAAAAAAGUGCAUUUUGGGGGGUUCUUUUUUGGGGCCAAAACCUCAGAAUUUGGGAGUUAAAAAAGUACAUUUUGGGGGCCAAAUCUUUAGAAUUUAGGGGUGAAAAAGAUGCAUUUUGGGGCCGAAUCCUGAGAAUUUAGGGGUGAAAAAAGUGCAUUUUUGGGGCCAAAUCCUCAGAAUUUGGGAGUUAAAAAAGUACAUUUUUGGGGCCAAAUCUUGAGAAUUUGGGGCUGAAAAAAAAGUGCAGUUUUGGGGCCAAAUCUUUAGAUUUUGGGGGUGAAAAAAGUGCAUUUUGGGGCUGCUUUUUUGGGGCCAAAACCUCUGAAAUUAGGGGUGAAAAAAGUGCAUUUUUAGGGGUUGUUUUUUUGGCCAAAUCCUCAAAAUUUGGGGGUUAAAAAAGUGCAUUUUGGGGCCAAAUCCUCAAAAAUUGGUGGUUAAAAAUGUGCAUUUUGGGGGCCAAAUCUUGAGAAUUUAGGGGUGAAAAAAGUGCAUUUUGGGGCUGCUUUUUUGGGGUCAAAUCCUCUGAAAUUAGAGGUGAAAAAAGUGCAUUUUUAGGGGUUGUUUUUGGGGCCAAAUCUUCAGAAUUUGGGGGUGAAAAAAGUGCAUUUUGGGGGCCAAAAUCUCAGAAUUUGGGGGUGAAAAAGGUGUGAUUUUUGGGGUGAAAAAAGUGCAUUUUGGGGUCAGAUCUUCAGAAUUCAGGGGUGAAAAAAGUGUAUUUCCGGGAUUGCUUUUUUGGGGCCAAAACCUCAGAAUUUGGGAGUUUAAAAAGUACAUUUUUGGGGCCAAAUCCUCAGAAUUUAGGGGUGAAAAAAGUGCAUUUUAGGUGCUGCUUUUUUGGGGUCAAAUCCUCUGAAAUUAGGGGUGAAAAAAGGGCAUUUUUAGGGGUUGUUUUUGAGCCAAAUCCUCAGAAUUUGGGGGUUAGAAAUGUGCAUUUUUGGGGGUGAAAAAGUGCGUUUUUGGGGCUAAAACCUUAGAAUUCAGAGUUGAAAUAAGUGCAUUUUUAGAGGUUGUUUUUGGGGCCAAAAUCUCAGAAUUUGGGGGUGAAAAAAGUGCAAUUUGGGGUAAAAUCCUGAGAAUUCAGGGGGUAAAAAAAGUACAUUUCUAUGGGUUAUUUUGGGGCCAAAACCUCAGAAUUUGGGGGUGAAAGAAGUGUGUUUUUGAGGUGAAAAAAGUGCAUUUUCAGGCCAAAUCAGAAUUUGGAGGUUAAAAAAGAGCAUUUUGGGUUCAGAAAAGCCAGAAUUGGGCACUUUGUGAUGGAUUUUGGGCUCAAAAAAGCCAGAAUUGGGCACUUUGUGAUGGAUUUGGGGCUCAGAAAAGCCAGAAUUGGGUCUUUGUAAUGGAUUUUGGGUUCAGAAAAGCCAGAAUUGGGUCUUUGUAAUGGAUUUUGGGCUCAGAAUAACCAGUAUUGGGCACUUUGUGAUGGAUUUUGGGUUCAGAAUAGUCCAAAUUGGGUCUUUGCGAUGGGAUUUUGGGCUCAGAAAAGCCAGAAUUGGGUCUUUGUGAUGGAUUUUGGGCUCAAAAAAGCCAGAAUUGGGGCCUUCUUCAUUGUUUUGGGCUCAGAUAAGUCCAGAAUUGGGGUCUUUGUGAUGGAUUUUGGGUUCGGAAUAGUCCAAAUUGGGUCUUUGUGAUGCAUUUUGGGCUCCAGAAAGCCAGAAUUGGGCACUUUGUGAUGGAGUUUGGGCUCAGAAUAGUCCAAAUUGGGUCUUUGUGAUGGGAUUUUGGGUUCAGAAAAGCCCGAAUUGGGUCUUCAUGAUGGAGUUGGUCUCAAAAAAGCCAAAAUUGGGUCUUUGGGAUGGAUUUUGGGCUCAGAAUAACCAGUAUUGGGCACUUUGUGAUGGAUUUUGACCUCAGAAUAACCAGAAUUGGGUCUUUGUGAUGGGAUUUUGGGCUCAGAAUAAUCAGAAUUGGGCCCUUUGUGAUGGAUUUUGACCUCAGAAAAGCCAGAAUUGGGGUCUUUGUGAUGGGAUUCUGGGUUCAGAAAAGUCCAAUUGGAUUUUUGCAAUGGAUUUUGGGUUCAGAAUAGUCCAGAUUGGGACUUUGUGUUGGAUUUUAGGCUCAAAAAAGCCAGAAUUUAACACUCUGUGAUGGAUUUUGGGCUCAGAAUAGUCCAAAUUGGGUCUUUGCGAUGGGAUUUUGGGCUCCAGAAAGCCAGAAUCAGGCAUUUGGGGAUGGAUUUUGGCCUCAGAAUAGACCAAAUUGGGUCUUUGUGAUGGAUUUUGGGUUCAGAAAAUUCCAUAUUGUGUCUUUGCGAUGGGAUUUUGGGCUCAGAGAAGCCAGAAUUGGGUCACUGUGAUGGAUUUUGGGUUCAGAAAAGCCAGAAUUGGGGCCUUCUUCAUUGUUUUGGGCUCA